CAAAGAUUAAGCCAUGCAGGUGA
rnacentral:misc_RNA from 1 species